AUAAAAAAAAAUUAAAAUGAUAAUUUUAAUAAAAAUAAUUUUAUAAUUAUAUUUAAUGGGGGUUAAAUUAUAAUUUAUAGAAAAAAUUUUUAUUUUUAUAGUGAAUUAGUAUUGUGAAAGAAAUUUGAAAUAUAUGAAAAAUUUAUAUAAUAAAAGUAGUUUUAAGUUAAUGUAUCUUGUGUAUCAGAGUUUAUUAAUUAAAUAAUUUAAAUAAAUUAUUCUCGAAUUUAAAAGAGUUAAUUAUUUAUAAAAUUUAUUGUGGUAUAAAUAUUUUUAAUAAAUAAUUUGAAAUGAAAUGUUAUUCGUUUUUAAAUAUAUCUAGUUUUUUUAGAAAUAAAUUAAAUUUAAAAUUUAAUUAAUUAAGAAAUUAAUUAAUUUAAUUUUUUAAAAUUAAAUUAAAAUAAUUUAAGGGAUAAGCUUUAAGUUAAAUUGUUAUAAUAAUAAUAAAUUAUGGUAAAAUUUUUAAAAAUUAAAUUUUUUAAAAAUUUUAGUUUUUUAUAAAUAAUUUUAUUAAAAAUAAAAUUUUAUUAAUUAUUUAAAUUUUUAUAAAAAAAAAUUUUUUAAUGGGGGAAAAAUUUUUAUAAUGAUAAAAUUAGUAUAUAAAAUGUUUAUAUUUUUUUUUUUUAAAAAAAAAUUUUUUAAAGGAAUUCGACAAAAAUUUAUUUUUACCUGUUUAUCAAAAACAUGUCUUUUAGAAAAUAAUUUAAAGUCUAAUCUGCCCACUGAUAAAUUAUUAAAGGGCUGCAGUAUUUUGACUGUACAAAGGUAGCAUAAUCAGUAGUCUUUUAAUUGAAGACUUGUAUGAAAGAUUGGAUAAAAAAUAUAUUGUCUCUAAAAAAUAAUUAAAAUUUAAUUUUUUAGUUAAAAAGCUAAAAUUUUUUUAAAAGACGAGAAGACCCUAUAGAGUUUUAUAGAAAAUAAUAUUAAAAUUAUAUUUAUAUUUUAAAUAAAAAUUUUAUUUAUAUUUUGUUGGGGUGAUAAAAAAAUUUGUAUAACUUUUUUUAUAUGAAUCAUGAAUAAAUGAAUAUAUGAUCCAAAAUUUUUGAUUAUAAGAUUAAAUUACCUUAGGGAUAACAGCGUAAUUUUUUUUUUUAGUUCUUAUAAAAAAAAAAGUUUGCGACCUCGAUGUUGGAUUAAGAUAAAAUUUAAAUGCAGAAGUUUAAAAUUUUGAUCUGUUCGAUCAUUAAAAUCUUACAUGAUCUGAGUUCAAACCGGUGUAAGCCAGGUUGGUUUCUAUCUUUAAUAAAUUAUAAUAUUUUAGUACGAAAGGAUUGAAUAUUAAAAAUAAUUUUUAUUAACAUGAAUUUUAUUAAUAUUUAU
rnacentral:rRNA from 1 species